rnacentral:rRNA from 1 species
GAGCGGCAGCGCGGGGCAACCUGGCGGCGAGCGGCGGACGGGUGAGGAAUUCGUCGGAAUCUGCCUUUUUGUGGGGGAUAACGUAGGGAAACUUACGCUAAUACCGCAUACGACCUACGGGUGAAAGUGGGGGACCGCAAGGCCUCACGCAGAAAGAUGAGCCGACGACCGAUUAGCUAGUUGGUAGGGUAAAGGCCUACCAAGGCGACGAUCGGUAGCUGGUCUGAGAGGAUGAUCAGCCACACUGGGACUGAGACACGGCCCAGACUCCUACGGAAGGCAGCAGUGGGGAAUAUUGGACAAUGGGCGCAAGCCUGAUCCAGCCAUGCCGCGUGUGUGAAGAAGGCCUUCGGGUUGUAAAGCACUUUUGUCCGGAAAGAAAUCCUUCAACUUAAUACGUUGGGGGGAUGACGGUACCGGAAGAAUAAGCACCGGCUAACUUCGUGCCAGCAGCCGCGGUAAUACGAAGGGUGCAAAGCGUUACUCGGAAUUACUUGGGCGUAAAGCGUGCGUAGGCGGUUCGUUAAGUCUGACGUGAAAUCCCCGGGCUCAACCUGGGACGUGCGUUGGAAACUGGCGAUCUAGAGUACGGUAGAGGGUGGUGGAAUUCCCGGUGUAGCAGUGAAAUGCGUAGAGAUCGGGAGGAACACUCGUGGCGAAGGCGGCCACCUGGACCAGUACUGACGCUGAGGCACGAAAGCGUGGGGAGCAAACAGGAUUAGAUACCCUGGUAGUCCACGCCCUAAACGAUGCGAACUGGAUGUUGGGCUCACUUCGGAGCUCAGUAUCGAAGCUAACGCGUUAAGUUCGCCGCCUGGGGAGUACGGUCGCAAGACUGAAACUCAAAGGAAUUGACGGGGGCCCGCACAAGCGGUGGAGUAUGUGGUUUAAUUCGAUGCAACGCGCAGA